CCGACCUUAGCUCAGUUGGUAGAGCGGAGGACUGUAGACGGUGUACCACAGUUAAUCCUUAGGUCGCUGGUUCGAAUCCGGCAGGUCGGA
rnacentral:tRNA from 1 species